GAAACUACAAGGAUUCCCCUAGUAGCGGCGAGCGAAGCGGGAAGAGCUCAAAUUUAUAAUCUGGCACCUUCGGUGUCCGAGUUGUAAUCUCUAGAAAUGUUUUCCGCGUUGGACCGCACACAAGUCUGUUGGAAUACAGCGGCAUAGUGGUGAGACCCCCGUAUAUGGUGCGGACGCCCAGCGCUUUGUGAUACAUUUUCGAAGAGUCGAGUUGUUUGGGAAUGCAGCUCAAAUUGGGUGGUAAAUUCCAUCUAAAGCUAAAUAUUGGCGAGAGACCGAUAGCGAACAAGUACCGUGAGGGAAAGAUGAAAAGCACUUUGGAAAGAGAGUUAACAGUACGUGAAAUUGUUGGAAGGGAAACGCUUGAAGUCAGACUUGCUUGCCGAGCAAUCGGUUUGCAGGCCAGCAUCAGUUUUCCGGGAUGGAUAAUGGUAGAGAGAAGGUAGCAGUUUCGGCUGUGUUAUAGCUCUCUGCUGGAUACAUCUUGGGGGACUGAGGAACGNCAGUGUGCCUU
rnacentral:rRNA from 1 species